rnacentral:rRNA from 1 species
ACUCAAAGGAAUUGACGGGGGCCCGCACAAGCGGUGGAGCAUGUGGUUUAAUUCGUCACUAACCGAAGAACCUUACCCAGGCUUGACAUCGCGUGAAAGCCCUUGAAAGAGGGUCCUCCCUUCGGGGACACAAAGACAGGUGUUGCAUGGCUGUCGUCAGCUCGUGUCGUGAGAUGUUGGGUUAAGUCCCGCAACGAGCGCAACCCUCACCGGAUGUUGCCAGCGUCAAGUCGGGCACUCUUCCGGAACUGCCCGUGCAAGCGGGAGGAAGGUGGGGAUGACGUCAAGUCGGCAUGGCCCUUACGCCUGGGGCUACACACAUGCUACAAUGGACAUCAACAACGGGUUCCGAUCCCGCGAGGGGGAGGCAAUCUCGCAAAUAUGUCCUCAGUUCGGAUAGCAGGCUGCAACUCGCCUGCUUGAAGCCGGAAUCGCUAGUAACCGCCGGUCAGCUAAACGGCGGUGAAUACGUUCCCGGGCCUUGUACACACCGCCCGU